AUUUGAAAUGAGUUAAAACCAAGAGAUGAUGAGAGAAGGAAAAGGAAGAAAUGUCGGAAUGUGAGCAGAGCCACUGUCUUAGAAAUACUGCUUCGGAGUGAAGCUUGUGGGGACAGUUAACUCUUUGAUCCACCCAGAAGAAAUAAUAGAAUGAUAAACUUCUGGCAAAGAGGAAGUCCCUGAAGCAGUCUAUCCGAGAUGCUGAGUGGGGCCUGGCUGCUGGGGAAUGGAAGGAACCACCUGCAUAGCUGAUCUGUAGCAUCGGAUGAAAGGUCAAACAGGUGAGCAAUUCUGCUUUGUUUCACACAGCUGCCAUUCCAUGCUGCUUUUCCAUGGGCUCUAGCGUCAAAGGAAUCAAGCAAUCAUGGGAUGAAACCUCAAGACCAUGAGCUAAAACAAAACUUUCCUGGUUGACGGCCCUAGGUAUUUGUUUAGUUCUGGUAGAUUUUCUGGAGCAUAGGCUCCAGAGGAGAGAGUGGUAUUUGGUGACACGUGGUUGUUGUGUACGUUUGUGGGUAUGGAAGACUCGGGAGAGAUGAGCGGCUCCUCAGGCCAAUGGGACUUCAUGAAUUCUCACAGAACGCCUCAGUGGCAUUUACACAACUUCAACACAUCAUUCACCAAAGCAAGAGUGUGUUAAAAGAAAAUCUAUAAGUGGGUUCAGGCCAUGCACUGGGUACUUCACUAAAGGGCAUCACUCCCACAAAGAGCAAUUAGUUCAUUUGUGAAGGGGCUGGAGAAACCGCAGAUGCUGUGAGGCUUUCUGAGUCAAUGUGUGGCAUGAGAUGCAAAGUCGUCUGUUGGCCUCUCCUGUUUCUUACCAUGCUCUGCCCUGGCGUCUCCUGCCUCCACACUUUCUUUACCUGUAUGAACGGGACUGCCUGAGUUCCCUGCCACCCCCUGAUCAUCACAGACCAUACCACAACUGAACCAGAUACCCUCUGUGACUCCUGGAAUUCCUGGGACUCCUCCACACAGCCCCUGGGACUCCUCCACACAGCUGGAGCAGCACAUUUAUGGUGAGGCUUGGGAGAACACUGUGGCAGCAAUGAACACUGUGGCUUCAAGGCACAAGCUCAGGGAUACAUUCCAGAGGUGGAAGUCAGCCAUCCAGUCUUUGCGUCCCUUUGUUUUCCAGUGCUGAAGAUCAAACCCAGGGCCCAAUGCAUGCUAGCAACUGAGCCGUCUGCUAUUGACAAGCCCUCAAAAUGACUUUGAGGGCCACUGGUCUCAGUGACUUCAUAGACAGAAUUUGUCCUCACCAGAGAAAUGAGAUUUGGGAAGUAUUUGCUGGAGAAUAUCCAGUAAAGAGGUGAGUUGUGAGAGUCAGGCAUUGAACUGGAGGUGUGCUAGAAAGACCUUGCCCUGUGAUAAUCUCGAGUGCCACUAUUAAAAAGCCCGUGCACUGGGCUGGAGCAACCAGCUUCGACUCCUAGCAUUGCCCUGGUGGUUCACACUCAGCCCGUGGAGAUCUCUCUCGCACCCUCUUCUGGCUUCCUCAGGCACUGCACACAUACAGGUAGGCAAAACACCACACACAGAAAACAAAAACAAAAACAAAAACAAAAAAUCCAAAAAGGUUUAAAAAUUUGUGUGUAUUUUUUUUUUUAAACACAGGUCCUCACUGUGUAGCCUUGCAACCCCUUGGGAGGCAGAAGCAGAUAGUGAGUUUAAGACUAGCCUGGUCUACAUAGGGAGUUCCAGUCUAGCCAAGGCUACAUAGGGAACCCUGUCUCAAAACAACAACAAACAAACAAACAAGCACACACAUCAUUGAUUCAGUGUUAUACAGUGUUAAAGGACAUCCAAGAUAAAGACCAGGUGGCCUCCACCUUACACUUAGCUGCUGUUCUUGCCGGCGACAGCCCGAUUUACUUAUUUAUAAAUCUGCACUGUUUCAAUUAUUUAUGACUUUCUGCUCAAACUGGAUGCCGAUCCUCUGCUCCUGUGACACCCAUGUGGGUCACUGGCAGGAGCCUGCUGUGCCCAUGUGUGAGGUGUGCUCAUUGGCAGGACACAGUGUGGCAGCGUGGCAGGGAAGUCUCACCUUAACAGACGGCCAGGCUGGGGGUGUCCUGUGAGCAGCAUGAGAGAAUUGGGGUGGUGCCAGGAACCCCACAAUGCCUGGAAUGAGGCUUGAUUCCUCAUACUAGCCUGGGCCUUCAGUUGCUCUUCCACUCUGCCUGUUGGUAAAGGGAGCAGGUUGAAGGCCUUCCCCACUGUGAUGGGCCGUCCAAGGGAAGGAGAAAGAAGUGGCCGGCUGCUUCACAAAGCAAGUCAACCAGCAGGCCACUGGCUUCCCCCGAACUCAUUACUGCCUCUGUGCUCAUGACACUGCUCAAUCCGAGAGACAUCCUACCUACUACAAUCCGAACGCCAGGGUCAGAGCGUACAGGGCCGAGAGACCAGACCGAACCGUUAUUAGUUCACAGAACUCCAAUUCUUUAUUCAUCACAGCUUGCUCACAAUGACAUACAGGAAAAUAGCACUAAUGAAGAGUAAAUAUGCAGGCAGCAACCUUCAGGAGUUGGGAGUCGAGGGAGAAACGAUUUCAAAACUGCAAUAGGUAUUUAUGCUGGGUACCUGCUGAUUCUUUUAGUUGGCACAAGCGCCCUGCCUAGGCCCCCCCUUAACUUCAUCGGCAUCACAGAUGGAGUGAUUUGGUCUUGUUUGCAGGCAGUCUUGCCCUACACUGGGGAAGAAAGACCAGCUUGAGUAAAAGUCCACAGUGUUUGUGACUUUUGUUUGUGUUUUUAAUGCAACAACCAGCUCACAGUCUCCAAGUGGAAAAAUAUUCAGUAGCAUCAUGUGCUUGUACUACAGGCAAAAGCUUAAAAUGAACAUCAUCACCCAUGGCAUCCACAAAUAAGCCACCCGGCACGCUAAGUAAUUCAUUCCAUCCAAAGAACUGAAAGAAGAGAAGUAAGCCCGCUUCAUGAAGAACGGUUUCACGGCUGCUUGAACUCUCUGGCUCUAUAUUCGUGCGCAGCACUUUAGAAGGUUCAGCCCCUUGCUUCUAACCUGACUGAGCUCAGAUCCGUCUUCCCACCCUUCUCUUUCUGAAACCCAAACGCAUUUGCAGCACAGCACGGAACCCAUGAGUAGAAGUGAGUGCUAUGAAUGGUGGUUUCCCUUAGCCUGGCUCUGUGGUUUCUAGGCAGGAAGCAGGCGACGAGCAGACGAAUGUGGAGGUUCACAUGGAGACACAGUACCUGUGAUCUAGGUGUGGUCUUGGUCAAGCUCAGAGAUGGUGGGGUCAUCUAGGUCAUUAGGCAAUGGUGGAUUUCUAGCACCAUAGACUGUCUACUGACCUCAUUUUUCCGUUAGAAUGAAAAAGGGCAGGGACUGGAGUUCAACACGGGGAGCUUCAUAAAGAACAGACCUAGCAAGUUCAUUGGAGUGGAAAGACACAACAUCAAAAGCCUGUUACAGGACAUGUAAGAUUAUGAAAUAACUUGCAUAAUGCAAUACUUGUAUUUUUUAACAAAAAUGUAAAUAUU